rnacentral:tRNA from 1 species
GAGUUGUUAGCUCAGUGGUAGAGUGCAUGCUUUGUGUGCAUGAUGUCCUGGGUUCAAACAAAUUCAAUCUG